rnacentral:lncRNA from 1 species
GUAUGGGCUUUAAGCUAUACUAGAUUUUUCUUGUUGCUAUUUUAAAAGCUUAUUCAUGGGUGUCAAGUGAGGUUCAGCUGGUGGAGUCUGGAGAAGGCCUGAGACAGCCUGAGGGUUUUGAGAGUCUUCUGUGCAGCCCGUGGAUUCAAAUUUAGUAGCUACUGAAUGAGAAGCUACUGAAUUAGCUGAGUCCACCAGGCUUCAGAGAAGGUGCUGGAGUGAGCAGUAAAUACGAAGUAUGAUGAAUCAGUUAUACCAUUCAAAAUCUGUGAAGGACAGAUUCACCAUUUCCAAAGACAAUGCCAAGAACUCACUGUACCUGUGAAUGAACAGUCAGAGCUGAGAACAUGGCCUCGUAUUAUUGUACA